rnacentral:rRNA from 1 species
GUGCCAGCCGCCGCGGUAAUACGUAGGUGGCAAGCGUUAUCCGGAAUUACUGGGCGUAAAGCGCACGCAGGCGGUCUUUUAAGUUUGACGUGAAAGCUCCCGGCUUAACUGGGAGAGGUCGUUGAAUACUGGAAGACUUGAGGCAAUGAGAGGGGUGUAGAAUUCCCGGUGUAGUGGUGGAAUGCGUAGAUAUCGGGGGGAAUACCAGUGGCGAAAGCGGCACCCUAGCGUUAGCCUGACGCUCAUGUGCGAAAGCGUGGGGAGCGAACGGGAUUAGAUACCCCUGUAGUCC